rnacentral:rRNA from 1 species
UACGGAGGGUGCGAGCGUUGUCCGGAAUCAUUGGGCGUAAAGGGCGCGUAGGUGGCCCGGUCAGUCAGUGGUGAAAGCGCGGGGCUCAACUCCGCGUCGGCCAUUGAUACUGCUGGGCUUGAGCACUGUAGAGGCAGGCGGAAUUCCGGGUGUAGCGGUGGAAUGCGUAGAGAUCCGGAAGAACACCGGUGGCGAAGGCGGCUCACUGGCCCGAUACUGACGCUGAGGCACGAAAGCGUGGGGAGCAAACAGGG